AGAGACGGACGGACAGGGACUGGAGGCUGGUCUGCAGACUCGGGCAGGGGUCUGCUGUGCCCAUCGGCAGUGCUGGAGAGACACAGGGUAUGAGGACCCAGCCCUGCCUUGCUUCUCCAUGAUCCACCAGGAGCCCUCCACGCUGGAUCAUUCACCUCCACACAACCGUGGUCACAGAGUGAUCUACUCUUGCCUGCCAGCCACAGCUCGCCCUUCCCUAGUUCUCCUGAAGCUGAGUUCCUGUUGAGGUUGAGUUCCUACAGAACCCUGGCCAGGACCCCACCAGACCCAUCCCUGUCUACACAAAGCUGUGCUUCUCUGCUGAGGGUCUGAGGCUCAUCAGCGGCAAGCUCUGGGGGGCGGGUGGGGGGUGGGGGAGGGGCUGGGACCUGGGGUGGCUGGGCCGCAGCUGUGGCUCCAAAUUACUCCAAGGCCCACUGCCUGGUCCGCGCUGCAGCCGGAACCACAUCAAACAAAUGCGCUCUGAUGCAUUAAGUGGGGAGGGGGAGGCUGAAAUAGGCCCUCCCCCACCCGCCCCCGCCUAAUGCAGUGUUGAGCAGUAGAGGCUGCCUUGAUGAGGGGGACCAUAACGAAUUCCCAG